AGCGAACGCUGGCGGCAGGCCUAACACAUGCAAGUCGAACGAACCCUUCGGGGUUAGUGGCGGACGGGUGAGUAACACGUGGGAACGUGCCUUUAGGUUCGGAAUAACUCAGGGAAACUUGUGCUAAUACCGCAUGUGCCCUUCGGGGGAAAGAUUUAUCGCCUUUAGAGCGGCCCGCGUCUGAUUAGCUAGUUGGUGAGGCAAAGGCUCACCAAGGCUACGAUCAGUAGCUGGUCUGAGAGGAUGACCAGCCACAUUGGGACUGAGACACGGCCCAAACUCCUACGGGAGGCAGCAGUGGGGAAUCUUGCGCAAUGGGCGAAAGCCUGACGCAGCCAUGCCGCGUGGAUGAUGAAGGUCUUAGGAUUGUAAAAUCCUUUCACCGGUGAAGAUAAUGACUGUAGCCGGAGAAGAAGCCCCGGCUAACUUCGUGCCAGCAGCCGCCGUAAAAC
rnacentral:rRNA from 1 species